UACGUAGGGUGCGAGCGUUAAUCGGAAUUACUGGGCGUAAAGCGUUCGCAGGCGGUUUGUUGUGUCGGCGGUGAAAGCCCCGGGCUCAACCUGGGAAUGGCCGUUGAAACUGGCGAACUGGAGUGUGGCAGAGGGGGGUGGAAUUCCGCGUGUAGCAGUGAAAUGCGUAGAGAUGCGGAGGAACACCGAUGGCGAAGGCAGCCCCCUGGGCUGACACUGACGCUCAGGCACGAAAGCGUGGGGAGCAAACAGG
rnacentral:rRNA from 1 species